GGACCAUGGCAGGUCUAUGAUAUGUCUAUGACAGGACCAUGGCAGGUCUAUGACAGGUCUAUGGCAGGUCUAUGACUGGUCUAUGACAGGUCUAUGACUGGUCUAUGACAGGUCUAUGACUGGUCUAUGACAGGUCUAUGACAGGACCAUGGCAGGUCUAUGACAGGUCUAUGGCAGGUCUAUGACAGGUCUAUGACAGGACCAUGGCAGGUCUAUGACAGGUCUAUGACAGGACCAUGGCAUGUCUAUGACAGGUCUAUGGCAGG